GGGCCGUUAACUCAGUGGUAGAGUAUCUGACUUUUAAUCAGAGAGUCGAUGGUUCGAACCCAUCACGGCCCA
rnacentral:tRNA from 1 species